GCCGGGCGUGGUGGCACGUGCCUUUAGUCCCAGCUACUCAGGAGGCUGAGGCUGGAGGAUCGCUUGAGCCCCGGAGUUUUGGGCUGUAGGGCACUAUGCCGAUCUGGUGUCUGCACUAAGUUCGGCAUCAGUAUGGUGACAGUCCAGGAGCAGGGAACCACCAGGUUGCCUAAGGAAGGGUGAACCGGCCCAGGUCAGAAAUGGAGCAGGUCAAAACUCCUGUGCUGAUCAGUAGUGGGACUGCACCUGUGAAGAGCCACUGCAGUGCAGCCUGGGCAACACAGCCAGAACUCAUCUCAA
ensembl:misc_RNA Metazoa_SRP Metazoan signal recognition particle RNA